UAGCCUGGAGUGUGAAGGUGGGUCUGCAAUUGCUUCUGCCAGGGUCAACUGUGAGGGAAGACGGUAGGGAAGUGACACCCUUUCAGUGAGUACUGACUAGUAUGAGCCUCAGUUUGCCUUCCGGAAGUGGGAGGAAGGUUCUACCUUAGCCUGUCAGGGUGGAGUGCUGAUGGGUAUGGACUGGGUUCCUUGGGACCUGAGGCUCCUGCUGUACCUUGUGCCCUCCCAGGGCUUCAGCUGGUGGCGCUGGCUGCUUGACUUUCUGGAAAUGGAUGCCAUGCAAGGUUGCAUUUUGACCAGGGGGAAGGAGGUCAUUCUUGAGGGUGGCUGGAUCGAUUGUGAGUCUGCCCCAGCUCCAGAGACACGGCAAGUUCAUGGGAUCUCACUCCUAAAUUCAAAAGUUAAGACAAUGAGGACGGCUGUCUUACAAGACCUAAUGGCCCUUGACGUACUAACAGCAGCGCGAGGAGGAACCUGUGCCAUCAUUAGAGUGCUGUGUAUAUAAACCUGACAACUGGGACAAUAUGUCCCCAGUCCUCCAAGAUUUACAUACUCAAAUUAAAUCUCUUGUCAAGCCCU
ensembl:lincRNA 4930471C06Rik RIKEN cDNA 4930471C06 gene